rnacentral:rRNA from 1 species
GAGGUCCGAACCCACAUCCGUUGAAAGGUAGAGGGAUGAGGUGUGGAUAGGGGAGAAAUUCCAAUCGCAUCCGGAGAUAGCUGGUUCUCCUCGAAAUAGCUUUAGGGCUAGCCUCAUGAGAGUCUUUUGGAGGUAGAGCACUGAAUUCCCGCGGGGGCGUCAAAGCUUACCAAAGGAUAUCAAACUCCGAAUGCCAGUAAGAUGAUUCAUGGGAGUCAGACUACACGAGAUAAGUUGGGUAGUCAAAAGGGAAAGAGCCCAGACCUGCAGCUAAGGUCCCAAAAUGUGUGUUAAGUGGAAAAGGAUGUGGGAUUUCAAAGACAACCAGGAUGUUGGCUUAGAAGCAGCCAUACAUUAAAAGAGUGCGUAAUAGCUCACUGGUCGAGAGGUCCUGCGCCGAAAAUGUCCGGGGCUGAAACACACUACCGAAGCUCAGGAAUUAACGUAGUUAAUUGGUAGAGGAGCAUUCUUAAAGGGAAGAAGCAGUACCGGAAGGAGCUGUGGACUUUUAAGAAGAGAGAAUGCCGGAAUGAGUAGCGAGAGGAAGGUGAGAAUCCUUCCGGCCGAAUACCCAAGGUUUCCAGAGUAAAGCUGAUCUGCUCUGGGUAAGUCGGGGCCUAAGGUGAGGUCGAAAGACGUAGCCGAUGGACAACAGGUUGAAAUUCCUGUACUGCAGUAUAACAGAACUGUGGGGACGCAGAGGGAGAGCACUAGCGGGAAUGGAAUCCCGUGGCAAGCGAGGUAGGAGUCGCGUUGGCAAAUCCGCGUGACAAUCCGAAGACGUGAUGCAUACCGAACUAGAGUAGGGAAAUGUGUGAGCCAGCUGCCAAGAAAAGCCGCUAUUGUUUGUACUGUACCCGUACCGUAAACCGACACAGGUAGGUGAGGAGAGAAUCCUAAGGCCGACGGGAGAAGCAUUGUUAAGGAACUCGGCAAAAUGACUCCGUAACUUCGGGAGAAGGAGUGCCAGUGAGAGCUGGCCGCAGAGAAUUGGCCCAAGCAACUGUUUAGCAAAAACACAGGUCUAUGCAAAACCGUAAGGUGAAGUAUAUGGGCUGACGCCUGCCCGGUGCUGGAAGGUUAAGGGGAGAGGUUAGCGCAAGCGAAGCUUUGAACUUAAGCCCCAGUAAACGGCGGCCGUAACUAUAACGGUCCUAAGGUAGCGAAAUUCCUUGUCGGGUAAGUUCCGACCCGCACGAAAGGCGUAAUGAUUUGGGCACUGUCUCAACAAUGCACCCGGUGAAAUUGAAAUACCAGUGAAGAUGUAGGGACCUGCGCCAGGACGGAAAGACCC